rnacentral:lncRNA from 1 species
CAAGGUAGGGUUGUGGAUAUUGACAAAGGACUUAAGGGCGCACCGAAGACCAGCUUUUGCUUCACCGUGACAAUUCCACACAAGAAAUAAGCAAUCUAUAGGGUAAAGAUAAAGGAAAAAAGGAGUUGAUGCAUAAAAAGAAAGACUAUGCUUGUUCCUUCUUAAGGGCAUCAACAGUGCUGAAAACAAGACUUACAUUCUUGUUGACAAGCUCUUGAAUUUUGGAUAUAAGGGGGUU